rnacentral:rRNA from 1 species
AUUGAACGCUGGCGGCAUGCCUUACACAUGCAAGUCGAACGGCAGCGCGGACUUCGGUCUGGCGGCGAGUGGCGAACGGGUGAGUAAUACAUCGGAACGUACCCUGUUGUGGGGGAUAACUAGUCGAAAGAUUAGCUAAUACCGCAUACGACCUGAGGGUGAAAGUGGGGGACCGCAAGGCCUCACGCAGCAGGAGCGGCCGAUGUCUGAUUAGCUAGUUGGUGGGGUAAAGGCCCACCAAGGCGACGAUCAGUAGCUAGUCUGAGAGGACGAUCAGCCACACUGGGACUGAGAUACGGCCCAGACUCCUACGGGAGGCAGCAGUGGGGAAUUUUGGACAAUGGGGGCAACCCUGAUCCAGCAAUGCCGCGUGUGUGAAGAAGGCCUUCGGGUUGUAAAGCACUUUUGUCCGGAAAGAAAUCGCGCUGGUUAAUACCUGGCGUGGAUGACGGUACCGGAAGAAUAAGCACCGGCUAACUACGUG